rnacentral:rRNA from 1 species
GAUGAACGCUGGCGGCGUGCCUAAUACAUGCAAGUCGAGCGAACAGAUGAGGAGCUUGCUCCUCUGACGUUAGCGGCGGACGGGUGAGUAACACGUGGAUAACCUACCUAUAAGACUGGGAUAACUUCGGGAAACCGGAGCUAAUACCGGAUAAUAUAUUGAACCGCAUGGUUCAAUAGUGAAAGACGGUUUUGCUGUCACUUAUAGAUGGAUCCGCGCCGCAUUAGCUAGUUGGUAAGGUAACGGCUUACCAAGGCAACGAUGCGUAGCCGACCUGAGAGGGUGAUCGGCCACACUGGAACUGAGACACGGUCCAGACUCUUACGGGAGGCAGCAGUAGGGAAUCUUCCGCAAUGGGCGAAAGCCUGACGGAGCAACGCCGCGUGAGUGAUGAAGGUCUUCGGAUCGUAAAACUCUGUUAUUAGGGAAGAACAAAUGUGUAAGUAACUAUGCACGUCUUGACGGUACCUAAUCAGAAAGCCACGGCUAACUACGUG